rnacentral:rRNA from 1 species
UACAGAGGGGGCAAGCGUUAUUCGGAAUUAUUGGGCGUAAAGCGCACGUAGGCGGAUUGUUAAGUCAGGGGUGAAAUCCUGGAGCUCAACUCCAGAACUGCCUUUGAUACUGGCGAUCUCGAGUCCGGGAGAGGUGAGUGGAACUGCGAGUGUAGAGGUGAAAUUCGUAGAUAUUCGCAAGAACACCAGUGGCGAAGGCGGCUCACUGGCCCGGA